GCCCACAGCAGCAAGCAUCUCCCAUCUUUCUACAACUAUGAAAGGAUUACAGGAGUUGAGUGACAGACCUUCAUGGAGACCUAGGAAGUCAACAUGUCAAGGAAUACUCACUCACAUGGAGAGUCAGCUGCCCUGACACAGUGCUCACAGGGGUUCAUGUGCUCCAGACAGUCGACUGCCAGAGGAAUAACAUCAGUGGGAAAGAGGCAGAUCUCUUGCAGGGCCAUUACUGUAUUCAGCUCUUACUGGGUACCAGACUCCAUGUUAAAUGUUUUACAACAGCCAUUAAGCUGGUUCUACGUCCUGUCCGCACCUCUCCUUGACAGAUAUCGCACAGCUCUGGUAUCUCCAACAUCUUUGGAUCUCUAACACAAUUCAGGCUUCACUUCACAAUGGUGUCUCUGGACCCAUGUGCAGAGGGACUCCCCCGACUGCACAGGUCUGGCUUCAGUGGCUCUCCUUAACCACAGGGAAGAUUCCACAAGCCCUUUGCUUCUGUAUCCUUCAUGACUCUAAACUCAGAACCAUGAGGCAGAAGCUGUUAGGCUCCACUCCUUGUUUGUGCUAGAACCUCGAUGCCUCCUUGAAUUGCAUUUGCAUAAGAUUUGUUUUGGUUUUUGCUUUAGUAACAGUUAUCCUUAGGCAUUUUCAUAUUACAAGGUGGAAGUUUAGCCCUGGGUGGGGUCUUGCCCUGAGGUUACCACUCCCUUUAUUGCAUUUCCCAUCAAGCCUCUCAUUUCCUUCAGCAUAAGCCUUGGCUCCAAUGUUAAAUUUCCUGGAUGGCCUUUUUCUCCUUCAACUGUACAUUUUUUGUUUCUUUUUGCACUACUUGCUCUUUUUCAUUGUAGAUCUUCAUAAGAGUGAUUACUAAUAACCAAGUGACAGAGCUAUUAUCAGGCUGUCUUGAAAUCUCUGCCAGUGAAAUUAGUCCAAAACUCUCCAGUUUAGUGUCGGGUAGCUUAUUAAGACGAGGGCAAAAAGCAGCCACAUUCUUUGCCCCAUUACUAAUGUUAGUCCCCACUGAAACCUCUUGAGCAUGGCCUCCUCCAUAGUCAACAUUGCUCUUAGCAUGACCAUCUCCAAAGCUUCUAAUGAUAAUGACCAAUUAAGCCCUGCUUACAGAGUUCAACUGUUUUCCUAGCCCCAAAUCCCAAAGCCUUCCACAUUCCUCCCAAAUACAGCAUGGUACAGCCUGUCACAGCAAUAGCCUACUCCCUGGCAUAAGCUUCUUGCUUAGUUACUCUUUUACUACUGGGACAAAACACAAUUGUUAGUAUUCAGGCAUCUGCACUGGCCUGUCCUUGGGGUUCUGACAGGAUAUGCCCUUAGCUGAAGCUACU